rnacentral:lncRNA from 1 species
UUUAAUAAGAAUUUUUGUUUGUUUGUUUGUUUUUGCCACAAUAGGGGAAAAAAAGGGAUAGAUACUAAAUGUAAAGUGGUCCAGUAGAAAAUAGAAAAACACACAAAAACUCUUAUUAGACUGCCCUUGUAUAUAUAUUCGGAGUCAAGGUUAUAUUAGCUCAUAAAAUAAGUUAGGGAACAUUUUCUCUUUUUCAUUCAGCUGAAGAAUUGAUAUAAUAAUAGAAUUAUCUCUUCUUUGAAUAUACAGUAUAAUUAUCUGCAAAACUGUCUUAUUGUAGCUUUAAUAUUUCAUUGUAUCUUCUUUGGGUAAUUUUUUUUUUUUUACAUGGUUUGGUUGCUUAGUAUAAUACCUUUAUUUACCAAUAACAGCGUAUAACAUGUACAAUUAUAAAAUAAAACAGUAUUCCCCUCCCAUUCUUCUCUUAUCUAUACUGAUUUAAAAUUUUCUCAUAUAGGAACGUCAGUACUUAUCACCUUUUAAGGAGCGAUAAGUCCUUGAUGGCAGAGUGGCCAUGUUAUUAUAGUCUGUGUCAAAGAACUGAAGGGAAAGCAUGUUUUUUUUUUUUUUUAAACAAAGGAAGAGGUUGGGCAUGCUCCGGAGCAGUCAUCCUGCCAGUAAAGCCGCAUGAGGGUUUCACCUUACUGACAUGGCCUCGAAGCUUUGGCAGGUAUUACUGCUUCCAGAUUUGGUCCCAGCGUGGGACAAAAGAAUAUACAGACCUCCUCCUGCCUUUGAAUAAUUAGCGUCAGCAUAGCAUCCUCAACAGUGAGGGAUACAAACAAAGCAAGCACAGAGAGGACCUGGAAGAGAUUUGGCUUUGGGGAGUGAUUUAGCUAGGAUCACCACCUCUGUUGAGUGUAGAGGCAUUUGUGGAUUUGGACAGCAUUUCCCUUUGCCCUAGCAGUGUUUGCUUUGCUCUGGAGGGUACCCACCACAUGGUGCAAGCUAUGGCCCUACUGGCUGUAUACACAGAUGGGCAGCUACUGAUCCAAAUAUCAUACAGCUACAGAAGAAUUCAUCCAAAUGGCUCUAACUGAGUCCUAUACCUCCAGGGUCUUUUCCUUCCUGUGAAGAAAAUUCGAAUGAGUGUUCUAGUAGAGAUAAUAAAAAAAAUAUUGCUAUUUUAGAAGUACUUAAAGCCUCCUGUGUAUUUGAGUCCAGGUUGUUUUCUUAAAACUCCUGAUUUCCAGGGAUAAAAAGAAAAUGUGAAUAAACCCCCCAAUAGUCUCAAUUUUGACAUGACUUACAGUGUGUGGAUGGUUUUAACUUUAUUUAAUAGAUACACUUCUGUUAAGUUGAAAGUAAGUGGAUCGUACUUUCAGCAUAGUUGUAGAGCUUACACGUUAAAUAGUUCCACUGGGAAUCUAUUAGAGAGCAAAUGAGAGCCUCCUUCUGUGGUG